rnacentral:rRNA from 1 species
CGUAGGGUGCAAGCGUUAAUCGGAAUUACUGGGCGUAAAGCGUGCGCAGGCGGUUAUGUAAGACAGGUGUGAAAUCCCAGGGCUUAACCUUGGAACUGCAUUUGUGACUGCAUAGCUAGAGUACGGUAGAGGGGGAUGGAAUUCCGCGUGUAGCAGUGAAAUGCGUAGAUAUGCGGAGGAACACCGAUGGCGAAGGCAAUCCCCUGGACCUGUACUGACGCUCAUGCACGAAAGCGUGGGGAGCAAACAGGAUUAGAUACCCUGGUAGUCCACGCCCUAAACGAUGUCAACUGGUUGUUGGGUCUUCACUGACUCAGUAACGAAGCUAACGCGUGAAGUUGACCGCCUGGGGAGUACGGCCACAAGGUUG